AACGAACGCUGGCGGCAUGCCUAACACAUGCAAGUCGGACGAGACCUUCGGGUCUAGUGGCGCACGGGUGCGUAACGCGUGGGAAUCUGCCCUUAGGUUCGGAAUAACUCAGGGAAACUUGAGCUAAUACCGGAUGAUGACUUCGGUCCAAAGAUUUAUCGCCUAAGGAUGAGCCCGCGUAGGAUUAGCUUGUUGGUGAGGUAAAGGCUCACCAAGGCGACGAUCCUUAGCUGGUCUGAGAGGAUGAUCAGCCACACUGGGACUGAGACACGGCCCAGACUCCUACGGGAGGCAGCAGUGGGGAAUAUUGGACAAUGGGCGAAAGCCUGAUCCAGCAAUGCCGCGUGAGUGAUGAAGGCCUUAGGGUUGUAAAGCUCUUUUGCCCGGGAUGAUAAUGACAGUACCGGGAGAAUAAGCCCCGGCUAACUCCGUGCCAGCCGCCGCGGUAAUAC
rnacentral:rRNA from 1 species